UACGUAGGGGGCAAGCGUUGUCCGGAUUCAUUGGGCGUAAAGAGCUCGUAGGCGGUUCAGUAAGUCGGGUGUGAAAUCUCCGUGCUCAACACGGAGCGGCCACCUGAUACUGCUGUGACUCGAGUCCGGAAGAGGCGAGUGGAAUUCCUGGUGUAGCGGUGAAAUGCGCAGAUAUCAGGAGGAACACCAAUGGCGAAGGCAGCUCGCUGGGACGGUACUGACGCUGAGGCGCGAAAGCGUGGGGAGCAAACAGG
rnacentral:rRNA from 1 species